CCGCCUGAGGCUCCCUGCCAUGCCCUGGGGCAGUUUUCUGGCCGCCCGCCUGACGUCCCUCUGCUCUGCCCCAGUCAGGAUUUUUUUGAUUCCCCCGCCUGGCACCCCUCCACCCACCCGUUUUGGGGUGUGACUUUCUUCGUUUUUUUGCUUGUCGUGGGUCGCCUGGGAGUCGACCCUUAAGGGGGGGGGGGGUACGGUCAUGGUCUGUCGUGUUUUGGUGUGUUUCCCUGUGUUUCCCUCCUGUGUUGAUUACUGUUCCCUCCCCUAAUGUGUCUCAGCUGUUCCUCGUUGUGUUUGUUACUUAAGCCCUUGUCUUUCCUUUGUUCCUUGUGCUAUCAUUGUGGUUGUUCGUCCUGCGUGUUCCCUGUUGUCACCUGAGUUCCCUGGUUCCUUGCCUUAGCCUUUAGGCAUAAAUAAAGUGCAGUUUUCCCGAAACCGUCUGCGUCUGGGUCCUACCUGCCUGCCUGCACCCGCAACCCUAACAGUAUCAUGCUGAUCGAAAAAAAUUUAAGUCCAAAUUAUGUUCACCUUUGUUUGACUAAGAAAUGGUUACACAUGAGUGUCUCUAUUGUAUUUGUAAGGCAAGGCAAGGCAGGUUUAUUUGUAUAGCCCAUUUCAUACAACAAGGCAACCCAAUGUGCUUCACAAGUCAAAAAGAAGGAUGGUCCUUGCAUACAAAAAUAGUUACAAAAGCAAUAAUAGUAGAUAAGAAUAAUAAGAGUUAAAAAUGUAAUGUAAGUAAAGACAUACAAUCAUGGAGAACAUGUUAAUUAAAGGCAUCUCUGAACAAUUUAGUUUUUAGUUUGGUUUUAAAAGUGGCAACAGUGUAUUAAUUUCUCUUUUAAUUAUUAAUAUUUGAGCCAUGGCAAACUCUUUGCCCACUGGACCGACGCAUCUAAGGCUCUUCUUUGGGGUGAGGUGCCACCAGUUUUUAAACUGAAGAAGAGAAGGCGAUGACAUUCAUGAGGGGCAACUUGACAACAUCGUGGCUGGAGUUGCCUGGCAAAGUCAGAAUGCAGGAUUGCUCAGGGGGAAGGUGGUCAAGCCCUCGUUUCAGAAUAUGGACGCAACAGAAUAGCAGGAGCUCCUGGAAAGGAUACGUUUUUCAAAUGAUGAAGAAGAAAAGUAUCCCCUGCUCUUCACCUUUGCUUUUCAGGAAGACAUGGAGGUCUUCCUUAACAUGGCAGCUGAGGAGGAUCUUCGCGUCAAUGCCAUGUUCCUGGGUCGCUGGGUGGACACUCAUUGACAUUGCUGUAUGUGUGUAUGUGUAGGUUCUGAGUUCGGUUAACUGUUGAGUGUUCUGAAUAAAAUGUUAAAACGUUUACAAUGUAUUGAUUUUUUUUUUACUUUACUUAUUCACUUUGGU
ensembl:lncRNA